rnacentral:rRNA from 1 species
GAUGGACGCUGGCGGCGUGCCUAACACAUGCAAGUCGAGCGAUUCUCUUCGGAGAAGAGCGGCGGACGGGUGAGUAACGCGUGGGUAACCUGCCCUGUACACACGGAUAACAUACCGAAAGGUAUGCUAAGACGAGAUAAUAUGCUUUUGUCGCAUGGCAGAAGUAUCAAAGAUCCGGCGGUACAGCAUGGACCCGCGUCUGAUGAGCUAGUUGUUAAGGUAACGGCUUACCAAGGCGACGAUCAGUAGCCGACCUGAGAGGGCGAUCGGCCACAUUGGAACUGUGACACGGUCCAAACUCCUACGGGAGGCAGCAGUGGGGAAUAUUGCACAAUGGGCGAAAGCCUGAUGCAGCAACGCCGCGUGAGCGAUGAAGGCCUUCGGGUCGUAAAGCUCUGUCCUCAAGGAAGAUAAUGACGGUACUUGAGGAGGAAGCCCCGGCUAACUACGUGCCAGCCGCCGCCGUAA